rnacentral:rRNA from 1 species
AUGAACGCUGGCGGCGUGCCUAAUACAUGCAAGUCGCGCGAACGGACGAGAAGCUUGCUUCUCUGAUGUUAGCGGCGGACGGGUGAGUAACACGUGGAUAACCUACCUAUAAGACUGGGAUAACUUCGGGAAACCGGAGCUAAUACCGGAUAAUAUUUUGAACCGCAUGGUUCAAAAGUGAAAGACGGUCUUGCUGUCACUUAUAGAUGGAUCCGCGCUGCAUUAGCUAGUUGGUAAGGUAACGGCUUACCAAGGCAACGAUGCAUAGCCGAACUGAGAGGGUGAUCAGCCACACUGGAACUGAGACACGGUCCAGACUCCUACGGGAGGCAGCAGUAGGGAAUCUUCCGCAAUGGGCGAAAGCCUGACGGAGCAACGCCGCGUGAGUGAUGAAGGUCUUCGGAUCGUAAAACUCUGUUAUUAGGGAAGAACAUAUGUGUAAGUAACUGUGCACAUCUUGACGGUACCUAAUCAGAAAGCCACGGCUAACUACGUG